GUAAAAAGAACCAUUAAACAUUUUGUCACCCUAGAUUGUUCAGUCAAAUAUAUUCUUUAAAAUGUAAUGUUCAUAGAAAUAGUGUUUUUUAACCACUUUCUUUCGUAUUGUUUAUUACUUUCGGUGUUAUCUCCCGUAGUUGUCAUGCGCUAUUUUUUAACCUAAAUUAGAGGAUGUAGGUCGAGCUGAACCAAAGACAUUUACAUCAAAUUAGGAAUUUGUAGGUCAAGCACCUGCUGUACAUAGAACAACAACCCAUUACAGCUUUGACUAUGCAGAGCAGGUAUUCUACCCAUACUAGGCACAGCAAGAGGGCCCUGCUUUGAAGUGUCUGUAAAUCAUAUGGUUCUCAGAUAUUUAUCUCAGUGAUAAGGGUUUAGCUAUUAUUUGGCCAAUGUUGUGGUACCUCAUUUUCAACAUCAUCCAUAUGGAGAAGAAUCUGCAUACCUGCACGUUGACAACUGUGUUGGGCAGAGUAAAAACAAUGCAGUCAUUGGGGUCUGAUGUAUUCUGAAGGGGCUACAUAGAGAAAUGGCAUUUACUUAAAUGGAAGCAAGUGAAAUAAAGUUCAGUCCUGUCUGAGAUUUGGUCUGUGGAAGACCAAAUGGAGGCAGCACACAUUCUUUGUGGAUUGAUGACCUUGGCAAACUGGUUAUAUUCUUUGACCGGUUGGAGUACACCAAGAGACCCCUGAAGUCCAUUCCAAACUUGAGGAAAUAUCAUCACUUCAGAACUUCAGCUGACAACCCAGUGAGUGAAUUCAUGAGAGAGCAUGUCAAGGACAGUGAGAUUGAAGUUAAAAUUGACAAGCCUACAACAAUGGCUUUUCCAUGGAGAGUACCCUGAACGCAUCCAACUAAAAGGACUUGAUGCAAAAAGGCUCUGAUCUCUUAAAUAACUGAAAAAAAAACUGUUCAGUAUACUGAUAUGUGAUCUUUAUAAACUAAAUCUAAGAUUUGAGAAUGAUCCGUUACUGAGCUGAUGAAAACGUGUAUCAAUUUUUAUUGACAAUUAUUUAUUCAAUAGAAGCAUGUUUAUGUGAAAUAAGGCUACCAGUGAUUUCGAGUGAUAAACUGUGGUUUUAGCAAAUGAGUGAUGGAAGGGUGCUGCACCCAUUCUUUUGUUUGUAAAACUCUUCUGCCAUAAUGGAGACCACUAUAUGAUUAUUUAUUAUUAAUACAAACUUAAAAAAGCUGGCAGUUGAAGCCUAUAAAUUCUUGAGUUAAAGACAUUUAUAAUAUUGUUUGUCAAAAUUAGUUACUUCACAGUCUGUACCUUAGCAACCUUUCAGUUUUUCUUCAAUAUCUUCAUUUUUAAAACCUUCCUGAACCCUAUAAACAUUUUAGCUUUAACUUUUACCCUAUAAAUAAGCAUCAAGAAUACCAUUUGUCAUGUACUAUGUGACCAAUUGCACUUAUUGAAACUACAUAAUGAUGUGUACAUGCUAAGUAGUUAGUAUGUUAAAUUAAUUGUUUUCAUUUUGUAAAUGUGCCCAUUUAUUAACUGAUCUUUUUAUACAAUAGUGUAAAUUAUGCAGUAUUGUUAUGUUUAUUAAAUUAAGAGUAUAUUAA